rnacentral:rRNA from 1 species
GUACGCUGGCGGCACGCCUUAUACAUGCAAGUCGAACGAAGUAGCAAUACUUAGUGGCAGACGGGUGAGUAACAUGUAGGUAUCUACCCUUUGGUGAGGAAUAACACGAGGAAACUUGUGCUAAUACCUCAUAAGUCUUUACGGAGAAAGCUUUAUGCGCCGAAGGAUGAGCCUGCACUUGAUUAGUUUGUUGGUGGGGUAAUGGCCUACCAAGACUUUGAUCUAUAGCUGAUCUGAGAGGAUGAUCAGCCACAUUGGGACUGAGACACGGCCCAAACUCCUACGGGAGGCAGCAGUAGGGAAUAUUGCACAAUGGAGGAAACUCUGAUGCAGCGAUGCCGCGUGAGUGAAGAAGGCCUUUGGGUUGUAAAGCUCUUUCGUCGGGGAAGAAAAUGACUGUACCCGAAUAAGAAGGUCCGGCUA